CACGUAGGGCGCAAGCGUUGUCCGGAAUUAUUGGGCGUAAAGAGCUCGUAGGCGGUCUGCUACGUCCGCUGUGAAAACCUAGGGCUUAACCCUGGGCUUGCAGUAGAUACGGGGCAGACUAGAGGUAGGGUAGGGGGAGAAAUGGGAAUUUCCCCGGUGUAGCGGUGAAAAUGCGCAGAUAUCGGGGAGGAACACCGGGUGGCGA
rnacentral:rRNA from 1 species